AGCGGCUAUGAUAGGCAGGAAAGGGAAUCAGGCUAAAAUUCCUGAACUGUGGUUAGAAGAGUGCUGGUGUUCGCAUCAGCAUGAAGCUGCAAAGCCUCGUUCAGUUGGCGUAGCGUCUCGGUGGCUGUGGAAGAGUCCGCUUUUCUCCCUAACAGCGAUUGGCCUCACGGCACUGGCCUUGGUUGGUGCUGGAGGUUUAUUAUCUCCCAUGAAUUGUGUAGAACAGAGAUUGGGAAAUAUUAGAGCUGAAAAGGCAGGCACUAUUAUUGUGGCUGUACAGUUCUCCGAAGCGUAAAUAGAAU
rnacentral:lncRNA from 1 species